rnacentral:lncRNA from 1 species
CACAACAAAUCACAUCUCGGAUGGUAUUGUCACCAUUAGUCCUCUACAUAGUCCAACUGUGCCGGGACGUAGAAUGGGUACAACCGGUCUUUCCCUUAACAUAACAUAUCAUACAGUCCAACUGUGCCAGGGACGUAGAAUGGGUACAACCUGGACUUCCAUACCAUAUCAUUCCGUAACAUCAUCAUAACAUAUGAGGACUAAAGGAUCAUCCAAUAACCAAUCCACAUCAACAUCAUAAAUGCAAUGCAACAUAUUCGUGAAUACUAAUGCAAACAACCUACUAUAUCUCAUGGCAUUCAUGAUGCAUGGAUCAUGCUCAAAAUUCAUAUUUCAUUU